UGUGGGGCCUUUCUUACUUCUGCGCUGGGUUUGGAGGAAGGGUUCUGCGCCUUCCGUGAUGGCGGGGCCCUCGGUGUGCGCGGCUUCUUGGCCUCCGAAGCGCCCAGGCUCCGGGCAGGGACGCGCGGCCGCCUUGAGGGUGAUGAGACGUCUUUCGCACCCGUGCCGGCCCCGAGGUUCCCGUGCCCUGAGUCCGUGGAGGGCGGAGGGCAGCGGCCUGGGCUCGGCCACGUUGCCCGUGGACCGCAGGAGGCACCCUAGGCGGCCCUCAGGCUGCCUGCCCACGCCAGGAAAUGGGAGCUGGGUGGGUUUGAGUGCAUUUGAGUUUCUUGGUCAUCGACUUUUUGCCGGGGAGGUUUCCGUAUAAGCAAGGAAUUCUUGGGUGUGAAAGAGAGGCCUCACCAGAAGUAGGCAUGUGUGCCUAGCGCAUCACAGCUGAGAUCGAGUCUACGUAGGAGUAAAGUGCCAUUUAAGGUUUAGAUCUCGAUAAUUGUUUCAAGAUGCGGAACUCGGCGAAUGAGAGUCAUCGACUUCGCAGGUGAAAGCUAGAUGCUUGAAGUAAAGACUGCUGCUAGCUGAACACCGGGAGCACAAAGGUGAUAUAAGGAUGUCCUUGAUGAGGAAUUCAAAAACAUCAUAAGAAAUCUUGACAAGAGUUGCUUGGAUCAUUUAAAACUCCCAGGAGCCUGAGGGGCACUAAAAUUGGUGCUCUUGGACAGUCUAUAAAUAAACACACCUAAAACAGUAGGGCUACAAAUAUUUCAUUGUGCUUCUUGAA